rnacentral:lncRNA from 1 species
CUGUGGUUCAUAAAGAAAAUCUCUACACUUAUCAAGAAAAAUCUGCACUCCAGAACCCACAAAACUGGGAAUAAUUGAUAAAACAUAAAAGCUAUGGAGAAGAUCUUGAAGUUAAAGAUGCCUGUUGCAGCAAAAAGUGUGGAUGUAGUGCCAGCUGGAGAACUGUUUGGUUUUGAACACUUUGAGCCCUCGCAGGAAGAUGCAUGUGAAGUGAGCUGUGUCCAGCCUUUUUCUUGUUUCUCCUCUUGACUCUAUGGCAAGAUUAAAGGAAUUGUGUUUGUUCUGUCUAAAGAAGAGAGAAACCAAAGCAGACACAUUAGCCAUCUUUGAAAACAUAACUGGCAAAGAGGUCAGGAAAAAACCUAAAACAGGACAAAAGCAAACAAUCAACAAGCAGUAGAUAGUCUACAUGCAUUAUGGGAGAUUUAGUUUUUAUAUUAGGAAAUGUCUGAAAGCAACAGCCAUGAGACAGUAUUGUAGGUUAUCUAGGAAGAUAUUGAUUUCUUCAUUAUUGGGGUUAGGAUCUGGUUGAAAAGAUUGCUCAGGAAUGAUUAGGUAUAGCUGAUGAGUGGAUUGAUGGCCUUUCCAAAUCCCCUCCUGUUUAUAAUAGCUCUAUAAAUGUGUUGGAUUUAAUAUCAGUAUAAUAAAGGAAACUCAAAAUCGUCUUCA